ACAAUUUGUAGAUAGUCGAGUAAGACGAGAACUAAGCUCGGAACUGUAUUAUAGAAAGUAAGAGUUCACAGUCUUACAUCUUCUUGGUCAAUUGAGGCCCACGUGUCAUUGCAGAUCAAAUCUUAUAUUAUGGUUAUCUGUAUUUCUAUUCAUACAAUUUUUACUUUACUUUCAUGUGCGAAAAAAUUAUUUACGAAUAUUUCUAUAGAAAUUUAUUUUAUGAGAAAAUAGAAUAUUUUAUUUAUUAUUUUUGAAUAGUACUAAUUGUCAACAAUUUGCUUUUAAAUGAACGUUUUAGAUAUAAAAACUUAUUUCUAAGUGAAAUAUGUGUUUUUCACCUAAUUAUUACAUUUUUAACCUGUCUUGAAAUUUUUGACGAAAAUGACAAAAAUGCUUCUAUGAGGCAGAAAUUAAAAUUUUAUUGUUUUUAGACGAAAAAAAUUAUCUAUAUUGUUUUAAAACAUGAUUUUUGUAACAGUAAAUCAUAGGGUAGGUGAGGAACUGAUAGAAAGCCUUGCAAGGUCUCGAUAGGGUACUUGAAAGAUGAGUGCUUAUCGGGACAUCGCGACAGUUGUCACGGACUCGAAGGCAGUUCCGGGUCGUGACAAGAUAGCACCCGAGGAUCAAGAAUCGGAGUACUCGAAAUUCGAUUCCCAUUACAGUGAGUAACCUUACUAUCAUCUUAUUUAUCUAAAGUGGUUUUUAUUCGAUUUUGUGAUUUUAUGAAAAAUGAGUUAAAUGGUAAAUCCUUGUGUUUUGUAAUUCAAAUGUGAUUUAAUGAAAUGAUUUUAUAACAUUGUCUUGAAAUGAAAUGAUGGUUUGAAAAUAGAGUAAUUGGAGACUGUUUUCAUGUGUUGUAAAUUCAUGGUUUGAAUCGAAUGGCUUAUGACAAUAAUUGCAUGAAUGGCUGAAUUGGUAUUUGUGUUGAAAUAUAUGAACUGUGUAUUUAGCCUUGAAAGGCUGGACUGUUAUAUAAUUGACAUGUCAUGCUAUUGCAAAUUUUAUCGUAUGGUGGGUUUAGCUUGCUGCAGUGGGCGGGUUUCAUGGAUCAGCCUAUUAGAGGGGCACGGUAACCCCGUUAUAUUCUUACCUUGGUCGGAGAGGCAUGUAGGGUAACUCCCAAGGUACAACUUUGGAGUUCACUUCAUGCUAAACCACCACAUGAGGGUGAACUCAGCCAACGCCAAUGAACGACUAUGUUUUCAAAAUAAAAACAUGAUUUAUGCGUACGUGACUUUUUAACAACCUUGGCGAACUCG
rnacentral:lncRNA from 1 species